AUUGAAGCUGCCCUUUCCGUUGGUGAACCUGCGGAGGGAUCAUUACCGAGUUAUUCAACUCAUCAACCCUGUGAACAUACCUAAACGUUGCUUCGGCGGGAACAGACGGCCCCGUGAAACGGGCCGCCCCCGCCAGAGGACCCCUAACUCUGUUUCUAUAAUGUUUCUUCUGAGUAAAACAAGCAAAUAAAUUAAAACUUUCAACAACGGAUCUCUUGGCUCUGGCAUCGAUGAAGAACGCAGCGAAAUGCGAUAAGUAAUGUGAAUUGCAGAAUUCAGUGAAUCAUCGAAUCUUUGAACGCACAUUGCGCCCGCCAGUAUUCUGGCGGGCAUGCCUGUUCGAGCGUCAUUACAACCCUCAGGCCCCCGGGCCUGGCGUUGGGGAUCGGCGGAGCCCCCCGUGGGCACACGCCGUCCCCCAAAUACAGUGGCGGUCCCGCCGCAGCUUCCAUCGCGUAGUAGCUAACACCUCGCGACUGGAGAGCGGCGCGGCCACGCCGUAAAACACCCAACUCUUCUGAAGUUGACCUCGAAUCAGGUAGGAAUACCCGCUGAACUUAAGCAUAUCAAUAACCGGAGGAAAGG
rnacentral:rRNA from 1 species